AUGGGACGAGGCAGACUUCUGAGUUACCUUUCUCUAGCAACAAUUAUUCAAUAUUCCUGCAGUCAGACACUGAUUGAGUCUGAGUCAGUGAUCAUCAAACCUGAUCAGUCUCAUAAACUGACCUGUACAGCCUCUGGAUUUAACUUUGGUAGCUAUUACAUGGCUUGGAUUAGACAGGCACCUGGAAAAGGGAUGGAAUUUGUUGCAACUGCCCACAGCAGUAGCAAGUAUUACUCCAGUGCAGUUAAUGGCUGCUUCACCAUCUCCAGAGACGACAGUAAGAUGCAGGUGUAUCUGCACAUGACCAGUGUGAGGACAGAAGACACUGCAGUCUAUUACUGUGCCCGACACAGUGAUACUUCUCCUUAG